CCCUUGGAGCCAUGAGAAAACAUUUUCUUAGGAAGUUUCGCCAUUUUUGACAUAAAGCUGCCAUCUGAUGGUUUACCUAUUUCUGGACCAGAUAUUUCAACUUGCCCUUCAAUGCCUUGUGGCAAAUCAACGCUCACUGUCUUAUCAGGAAUUCCAAUGUCAGUUUCAGCUUCAAGGCUAGGCUUUUCGGGACCUUUUACGCCAAUUUUCAGGUGAGCUUCAGGCAUUUUUGCAUGAACAUCACCGACUUCUGGUGCCCCUUCUACAGAGAUACUACCUUCCUUUGAGCCAUGAGGAAACAUUUUCUUUGGAAGUUUGGCCAUCUUUGACAUAAAUCCUCCUUCACAUGGCUUGCCUAUUUCUGGACCAGAUAUUUCGAUGUGCCCUUCAAUGCCUUGUGGCAAAUCAACACUCACUGUCUUAUCAGGAAUUCCAAUGUCAGUUUCAGCUUCAAUGCUAGGCUUUUCAGGACCUUUCACACCAAUUUUCAGGUGAGCUUCAGGCAUUUUAGCAUGAACAUCACCGACCUCUGGUGCCCCUUCCACAGAGAUGCUACCUUCCUUUGAGCCAUGAGGAAACAUUUUCUUAGGAAGUUUUGCCAUCUUUGACAUAAAGCCACCAUCUAAUGGUUUACCUA